GCCCCCCUCCCCUCCCUCCUCCACUGCCUCGCCAUCAAUCACAUCUCGCGCUCAAAAGCGAUCACCGCACACGCCAUACAAGCGCGCAUGCAGCGCGACACAAACACACACACACACACACACACACACACACUGCUCCUUCACCGCUCUCCUCCACCGUAAGCAUCACUUGCGCUCGCUUCGCUGCCCGCCACCGCUGUGUCCGCCAUCUGUCUCACAGGUGCGCACGCGCACACGCCCUCUCUCUAUAUCUGUGGAGAGGGAGAGGGAUUCACUCUUUAACGCAUGUACGCCAUCAUCACCACACAUCCUACCCGCCUCUCUCUUGACGACUGAUGGCUGGCCGCUGUCGUCAUCGUCGCUGACUAUCGUUGUAUUCGUCGCUCGGCUCUUGCGCUCUGCCGCUAUUUUGGCAAGCUCGGGCACAUACGCGCACAGCACAACCUUCACCCCUGUCUGUCUCGCUGUCGCCAGCGAACGCUUAGGUGGCAUCGUGCACCCGCUCCUUCUCUUCCCUCCCUGUCGUGUUAAUGUGUUAUGCCUCUGCCCCCGCCUCAGCAUGAAGGACGACAUCAGAAAGCGGCGCGUCACGCUCCCCUCAAAGCGAAGGCGCCACGUCAGUGUGGCGUGCAGCACGAGCACGCCCGCUCCAACCAAGAGCACUCGAUCCCAUACAUCAAACCUGAAGAGGGGCCCCACCUCCACUACGGACACUUUCACACCGCGGAGGAAGAGUGGAAGCCGCAAGCGCCCACACAGUGGCAGUGCGACAUUGAGUGGAGGAGAACCGGCAGCACAGCCGCCGAGCGCCCGAAGGGCUCGUGGCGCCCCCGUCGCGACAACCGGCGCUUCUGAGGGCAUCGAGACUGUGGAUGUCGCGUCUGUGACCAGAUACUGGAGCAGCGACUGUCGCCGCAUUCCGAGUGCGAGCAGGAUCGACUCGGCCUUGAUGGCAGCUGCAAGAGGGAGCAGCAACCGAAGCUUCAGCUCAAGCAGCUCUGCCACGUCGGCCCCCCUGCUGACUUCUGCGGGGAAUUCGGCCAGCAAUAGCUGCUCCGUGAUCAGCAGACGAAGAGAGGACCCUUCGCCAGGCUCUCCUCGGGUCUCCCCUGGGCCACUCCCAGCUGCCGCCAGCGCCCUCGCCUCCUCCGUCGAUGGCAAAGUGGCGCAGCUCUGCCGCACCCCCGUCACUGCCUCUCCCCCCGCCGCCCCCCUGCAUGCUGCCUUCACCACGCCGCAUUUUAGCGGGCACACACGCGGCUCCGGCAGCGCACCUGGUGGCGUAGGCUCGAAGGGCCCGCCACCCCGCCACAUUAGUAGCCCAGGCAGUGGCAACUUGGAUACGGACGCCCCCUCCUCCUCCUCCUUCCGCGCUAUUCAAAACCCGACGAGCGCGCGGGCGGCGACGCGGGUGCCCUCCCCGUUGCCGGUGAUACAGCAGCGCGGCGGCGAGAUGCGACGGCGUCUAUCUUUCGUGCCGGAAUCGCCAGCUGGUGCGUCGCGGGGCCUCGACACGCCUGGUGUCGUCAACGACGCAGACCCCGCUCAGCCAUCGCCAGCCUCGGGAGUUUCAUCCACGAACUUCCCGCUGGUCGACACGCGGUACAUGCAGCCACCUCCUGCGGCCCAGCCGCCCCUGCACGCGCUCGCUGCCGCAGCUUCGAUGCCAGAACUCGACAUGCCGUCGGUGAAGACGGUGUCCACCGCAUGCCAGCCGUUGCCGCCACCGCCACUGGUACAUCAGCGACGGCAGUCUAUGCCGGCACUCGAAGACGGCCAGCGUGGGGCCUGGGCUGUCAAAGGCAGCUUGGCGCCUGCGGGCUCCCCGCUCUCCUUCGGCGCGAGAAGCUCGUCCCUCAUGAGCGCCUCGCGGCCGUCGAGCAGGAGCGACCGCCGCAGUCCCAGAGAACGCAGCGACGGCGGCCAUCGCGCGGUGGUCUUCCGGUUUUCUAAAGCAGAACAAGAGGAGGGUGUGGCAAUGACGACCCCGCAACGAGAGCAGCAGGAGAGCGGAGAAGGCGACUCCACACCCCAAAGCAGACAGCUGCUCGGGCAGCGCGACCACUCGAUCAGCAACUCGAUGUGCUCCCUCUCCAUAGCCUCGGCAGCAACGUCGAUGGUGGACAAGCUGCCCCCUCCACCGCCUCCGCCGCCGGCGCCGCUGUCGAUUGGGAGAGGAGUUAAGACCGGUGGGGGAACACCGCCGCCGCAGCCCCCUCGCGUAAGUGUUCCCACGAGUCAACUUCUCCAUCAAUUCGACGGUUCAGAAAGUCGCGUGCGCGCGCCGUCUGGGGUUCACGGAAGAGACUACGUCGGGAACGACAGCGCUGGCGGCAGCGUCCUUGACGCGAGCAUCGCCAGCAGUCCUCGCAGCAGCCCCGCCUCUUCCUCAUGGCGGGAGAGCACUGGCCACGUAAAGCCCUUCUUGUUGUCGCCUGUGACGAGUCCGCCCAGAUCCCUAACCAGCAGCAUCCUCGUCCCCUCUGCGGCCGUGCCAAGCACCAGCGAGGACGGUGCAAUUGUCUCCGACGCGAAUGGGCUGCCGUCCUACUCUGGCGCGCGCCAUAGCGGGGCGGCGUCACAAGCACAGCCGUCGCACUACCCCUCAAGCGCCACCUCCCUCCACAGCGCACUGGUGAACGUGCAAAGCAUGGACAGCGCCGACGGCGUGGAGGAGGAGGAGGAGAAGGGCACGCUUGGACUCCGUCAAGCAGUGGCGCCGCCGCUCUUGCUGCCGACUCGUUUCUCCGCGUCAGCAUUGGUGUUCGCCAGUGCGGCAGCAUCGUCGGGCGUGAAAAACGACGCGCUCGACGCUGGCGUCGAUAAGCGGGCAGGCGCCGAGCCAAUUGCCAUGGAUGGCGCCGCCGAUAUCGUGGGUGAGUCAGCGCAGUCCUCCGAAUCGUCGACGCCGCGACCGCGACCGUCCUCCAUGGCCGUCAAGACUACCCAAGGCGCAGGCAAGUCCGAUAGCGACAAGGACCACACCUCCAAGCACAGCAGCGGCGGUGCCUCUGGCAAGGGCAAAGCACUGAUUGCGGCAACCAUCCUGCAGGCGCCGUUGCUCGUGAGCAGUGAAAUCUCCUCUCACGCCCGCCUUUCGAAGGCACAGGCGCUCUCGCCUCGUCAGCAGGAGCUGGCGCAGUCGUUUCGCAAUCGCAUCCAAGUGGGCGUACACCCUCCCCGUCGUCAGCGGUCAGCUCAGCUCGUGACCUCAGCUUCGCGCGACCGGCGUCGCAGCAUCGGCGGCAGCACCGCCAACAGUGACACGAGCCGCUGCUUCGGUGCAGGGCGAAGCGGCAGCGCCAGGCGACGAGAGAGUAGCUUACGGCGCACGAAAGGCCAGUCGAUACAGCAGCCUGUCGCCGCGCUGUCCUUCAUCGCAGUUUCCGUGGUUGCCGUCGCGUAUGCGAAGCUCCUCAGGCCUGUGCAUGCCUUUCGCGUGCGUCGUCGUUUCGAUGAGGUGAUAGCGCCUGCCGCCGCGUACCGCAUCCAGUGCAAGUGGCGGCGGCGCCUGCAGCUGCGCAGGGUGGAGCAGAAGACGGCCGUGCAGCUGCUCGUGCCGUGGAUACGGUUCCGGCUGCAGCGCUUGCGCCGCGCCAAGGAUACAAGUGCGCGUCUGCUACAGCGCGUGUUUCGCGGCGAGGUAGUGCGCUCCCUUCACCGAUACUUGUAUGAGCAGAUAAAGCGCAAUCACGCUCUCGACGUCAUUCGCCGCUACGUGCAGCGCUGGGAAGCACAGAAUCUCUACCGUAGACUGCGGAUGCAGCGCGAUGAGCGGGCCAUCGUGGUGAGUCAGUGCGUCCAAGGGUCCCUGCAGCUGCUUCGGGCAGAGCAAGUCGAGUGGAACGCCAUCGUGCAGGACGGCGCCGAGACACUGCAGAGCAGGCCGUGCGUGCGUACGCAGGACUGGGUGGAAGGCGUGGCCGCGCUGACGGGGGUCGUGCUCGACCCGCGCGCGUCGAACCGCAUCCGCUCACCAGAGGCGAGUCCAGUGGUGUCGACCAGGGCAGGGCCGACAUCUACGGCGCAGCCACGCGAGUGUCUUGCUGCGUUUGCGCGGCUGGAGCAUCAAAUGUUCCGGUUCCGUGGCAUCAAGGACGAUAAGACGGCGAGCAGUAGCGACGGCUCCGUGGCGGCGCACGAUGACGACGACCACUCGUACACUGCGGCGUCGACGGCGGGCGACGGCGCAUCUGACUCGCCGACACCAUCGGGUUCGCUGGCCACGGAGGACGACUUGGUUACCGCUUACCUACAGCUUCUUUGCCGCACCGAGGCCGCGGAGCGGGUGGCGCUGGAGCGUCGGUUGCUGGACGAGCGCCAAGAGCUCCUGCGCGAGCCGCUGCUGCGGUGCAAGGCUAUCUUCUACGCCACCGCGAUGCGGGUUCCACCACUUUUCUCGCCUCUGCUGCUGAGCAUGCCAUCUGAUUUACUGCUGCUCCAGGCCGCUCGUCUCUUCAAAGCGGAGCGAGAGGCGCGAUGCGAGAUCAUUCAGCUGUACGAGUCGAUGCCGCUCGCGUGUCUACGCCGGCCCAUGCUGAGCCCCGCCGCGAAGGCUCGCCACAGCGAGCUCGUGCGGCUCUUGAACGGCGUGGACGACCCGUGGAGUGACGCGGAGCGUAGCGAGCGACGCUUUUACUGCGAGACCGUCGCCUACAAGCACCUUGCCAGCAGCACGAGCAAGCCGGAGGGCAGCGACUCCCUCUCCCACACACCACAGCCGUCGUCGAUCCCGCUCGGUGCCGACGACGCCGACAACGUUCCCUCCCCUCGCUCGGCGGGCCCGUCGCCCGGGGCGACGCACACCAACGGUGAUGACUCUGUGCCACCACUGCGGCCCCUACCGCGCCCAACCUCCUACGGCACUCCGAGCGGACUGCGAGUCUGCAUGAGUGUCACACCACGCAUACACUAUUACGCCAACUCUCUCGUCACGGCAUCUCUGCCGGCGCACGAGACGCUCCUCUUGCCACCCUCCAACAACUUCGCGACCUCAUUGGCGCCAGAGGGCGGCGGUGCCGCGGCGACGGACGAGGACGACCGUCACGCGAACAGCUUUCGGGCCAGCGGGCACCGCGAGAGAAGCGAAGCGCAAAGCAAGACAGCGAUCCCGUCGCCGCACCGCCGCCCACGCGGACCGCCGCUGCCGCUGCUGCGAAAACUGCUGCAAACUCCCGCCCGCGCACGCAGCAGCGCCUCGCGUCCGUCAUUCCGGCGAGUCCCGGCCACCCCUACGCAUCUUCUCAAGAAUAGAGAGGGAGCUAGUGGGCCGUGGCCACCCCUGCUGAGCACCUACCCGAACACCACGCACUUCUGGCUUGUCGGUAUCUGGAGGCCGUCGACGGAGCAAGAGGGAAGAGAUGCAGAGGUUGGUACUGCGGGGACUUCUCAGCGCUCUGCCAACGACGUCUCGCAAGACGCUGACGCAGGAGUCGCGUCGCGGCUGCCCUCCCCUGUCAUCGCGGAGCGGGGGCGCUGUACCACCACGGCACACGCCACAUCGGCGGCGCCGCUACUCCGCGCAAGCUUCGUGGGGCGCACUCCCACAGCCCAACCUGUCGGCGCGCCCGAUCCGGGAUUCAUUCCCUUGACUACAACAGUAGGGUCGAUGCCCAAGACGCGGUGCUCCACCGCAGCGCCGCGAAAGCCCCUGACACCGCCUUCGAUGUUGCAGGAGCUUCCGCUGUGCCGGCGCCAACACAACGAUACCCCCAUCUCGGCGCGAGUUGACAAGGACACCUCCGGUGAUGCCGCGUUGCUCAGCGCCCCAACACCCAACUUCUCCAGCGCUUCUGUUGCGAUUGCGCUUCCGAUUUCCACCACAGCCGCCUCAACGGCAGCGGAGGCCGCCAAUCACCGCAGAGCGGCACGGCGAUCUUCCGACUGCAAGCACUCUCUCCUCUACAUACCCCUCUCCAUGCGAAGCGAGGUGCACGAUGGCGACGUCGAGGUGGCCGGUGCUGAAGCGGAUGCUGAGCUGCACCAAGGGCAGCAGCAGCAGCCGUCCACAACCUCAGCAGCAUCGGCAGCACAGGCUUCCACGCCGUUAGCGGCUUGCCGAGUCGAGGCAGUCGACUUUCCGCGGGCCCCGGCACUUUCCUCGUCUGCAUCGACUGUGGCAGAGAGGAGAGCCGACGGCUGGAACCGGUUUCCCCUCGCCCCGCAGCGGCUCCGCCCACCCACGCCACCGCCGCGUCAAUGCCAUACCGCGCAGUCCGCGGCUCAUAUGGGCGAAGCGCCGGAGAGAAGUGCUGCGCGCAGCAUCGUCGCUGCCAACCCUGCCGAUCGCGCUGGCCACCUUGUCUCGCACAACGGCCCUGCCUCUGCAGCGUCUUUGCUCAGCCUCCAUACCCAUGGACCUCACCACUGGGCUGCAGUCCACAGCGACGGCAGGAAAACCAAUGCAAUGGACGUGAAGAGCAGCGGAAUUAGUAGCAGUGAUGCUAACCGGGCCAUGACGCCGGCCGUCAAGGCGCUGCUAGCACCAGCGGCUCCCGUUGCCGCCGCCGUCGCGGCCGAAACGCAACCUCUGUCGCUCUCCCAGGGAUGAGUGCGCACCGGUUACCUUUAGUGAAAGCAGUGACGCGUGCGCGAAGUGAGCCUGUACGUGUUCAGGCGUAUGUAGAUGUGCGUGUCUGUGGAUUUUUGCUACAACUCGCGUGUAAACUAGAAGCGGGCCCGUCAGAGGUGGCAGACCUGCACCCUCCCUUCUCUUUCUCGGCUGCUUCUCUCGACGCCCCUCACUACCGCGUGUGUGGGCCUGGUUCUUGCCUUUUUUCCUGUUUUGUGCGUGUCCCUCUCCCUCCACUGACUGCAACCGCGUGGGUGUGCGUGCGUGCGCGUCUCUCCUGUGCGCCAUCUGAUUGCCGAUGUAUCAUAGAGGAAACACUCCUCGCACCUGCACAGGGACUAGAUUCACGGUGCGUAUGUGUAUGUGUAUGUGUGUGUGUGUGUUGGUGUGCAGGAGGAAGACGAAAGACGUCGUGGGAAACUUUAUGCAUCCCUUACACACACACGCAACGGUGAGAAACACACAUGUGGGCACGCACGCGCACAGUCUUCGCGCCCCGCCACCUCGAAAUGUAUGCACAUAUGUAUCACUGGUGCCUCUACGUGUUUUAUACACAUGAGCACGCUACGCCUUUGUGUGUGUGUGUGUUUUCGCGCCUCACCAGC
rnacentral:misc_RNA from 1 species